rnacentral:tRNA from 1 species
GCGGGGGUCGCCAAGCCAGGUCAAAGGCGGUGGACUGAGGCUCCACUCCCGUAGGGGUUCGUGGGUUCAAAUCCCACCCCCCGCA